rnacentral:rRNA from 1 species
GGUGGGAUGACGUCAAGUCAGCAUGGCCUUUAUGUCCUGGGCUACACACACGCUACAAGUGGUCGACACAAUAGGUAGCCAAGCCGCGAGGCGGAGCCAAUCCUUAAAGUCGGCCUCAGUUCAGAUUGUAGGCUGCAACCCGCCUGCAUGAAGAUGGAGUUGCUAGUAACCGCAGGUCAGCUAUACUGCGGUGAAUACGUUCCCGGGGCUU